ACCAAGAACUCCAACUCCCUCUUGUUCUCAAGCUCUGGGCUCCCACAGAACACCAGGAUCCUUGUGCCUUUCCCAAGAAACAUCAAAAAAGUUUUUCUGCAUAGUGGAAGAGCUUCAGCCAGAGAAAAAACAGAUCACACCCCACACACCCUGCUCCAGCUCCUGCUCCUGUCCCAGCAUAACAGCUGUUGGGCCUCUCCUAUGGAGGAUAGGACAUCCUCACACUGUGUCCUGGAAAGCAGUGCCAUUCAUUCCUGAACAGAAGAGCUACAAAUGCUACAUUCCCCACUAUUCACAGAGAAGUGGCUGUUGCUCAAGCUGCCAGGAUACUGUCAGUGACCAAAUUUCUCAGCUGAGAAUAUUUCUGUUAUUCAGAAACGGGAAGUCUUGUGAUUGAGUGCCUGUGAGAGCCAUUUUGUCCAGCACAAAGUAGCUCUUUGGAGCUAAGCUGUGCCACUGCACCCAGCAAUUAUUAAGGUAUUUCCCUUGCACACUGAUAUUUUGAAGGUAGGCCUGAAUGCUCCUGAGUCACACUAUGGAGCUCCAAACCUCUGCAUCUUCAUUGAAACAUUACCUUCUCUUUCACACAAAAAAUAUUUGGUUCUUGAACAGCCGCUCUUCACAGGCACCUGCCUGGGCCCUCCGUCCCACUGAGGUCACUGAGCCACUUACAGUCCUGUUAGGGAAUUGUCCCCAAAAACUGUUGACCCAAACUCCUGUGGGCCAUGCUGGUGUUUAGGUCUCAAAGUCUUUGCCUUUCAGAUGUAAGACAGGAAGAUACAGAGCAGCCUGAGGCAGUGAUGCUUUCUUCCAUGGCUGUUGUACCACAGAGCGAGAGGUUCUACCAUAGAGCCAGAAAAUCACAGAUUUGUUUAGGCUGGAAAAGGCCUUCAACAUCAUCAGGUCCAACCACUCACCUAUCACUGCCAUGUUCACCACUAAAACACAGAAUCAUAGAAUCACAGAAUUGCUGGGGUGGGAAAAGACCUCUGAGAUCAGCAAGUCCAACGAGUAACCCACCACUGCCAAGUCCAUCCCUUACCCACGUCCCCAAACACCACAGACAUACAUUUUUGGAACACCUUUAGGGAUGGUGAUUCCAUCACUGCCCCUGGCAGCCCGUUUCAGUGCUUGACCACCCUUUAAGUGAAGAAAUGUCAGAACCUGACACAACUCAAGGCCAUUUCCUCUUGUCCUAUUGCCUGUUACAUGGGAGAAAAUACCAACCCCCACCUGUCUGUAAUAUUCUUCCAGGUAUUGGUGGCCAGCAAUAAGGUCCCUCCCAAGUCUCUGUUUCUAAACAACGCCCAUCU